rnacentral:tRNA from 1 species
GCGGGCGUGGCGGAACCGGUAGACGCACGGGACUUAAAAUCCCGGGGCCGCGAGCCAUGCGGGUUCGAUCCCCGCCGCCCGCACCA